AAACCAACAGGGAUUACCUUAGUAACGGCGAGUGAAGCGGUAAAAGCUCAAAUUUGAAAUCUUCGGAAUUGUAAUUUGAUGGAUAAAAUUGCCACGGACAAAAGUUCACUGGAAAGUGACGCCGUAGAGGGUGAUAGCCCCGUUUACGUCCACCGGCACUAUAAUUUUAUUCCAAAGAGUCGGGUUGUUUGGGAAUGCAGCUCAAAGUGGGUGGUAAAUUCCAUCUAAAGCUAAAUAUUGACGAGAGACCGAUAGCGAACAAGUACAGUGAUGGAAAGAUGAAAAGAACUUUGAAAAGAGAGUGAAACAGUACGUGAAAUUGUUGAAAGGGAAGGGGAGGGAAGAUGUUAAAGGGACUCCUUCUUUAGUAGGGAUCCCCCCAAGAGUCUUUCCUCUCGCCCGUCUUGAAACACG
rnacentral:rRNA from 1 species